CCUACGGGAGGCUGCAGUGAGGAAUAUUGGUCAAUGGACGAGAGUCUGAACCAGCCAAGUAGCGUGAAGGAUGACUGCCCUAUGGGUUGUAAACUUCUUUUAUAUGGGAAUAAAACGUUCCACGUGUGGGAUUUUGUAUGUACCAUAUGAAUAAGGAUCGGCUAACUCCGUGCCAGCAGCCGCGGUAAUACGGAGGAUCCGAGCGUUAUCCGGAUUUAUUGGGUUUAAAGGGAGCGUAGGUGGAUUGUUAAGUCAGUUGUGAAAGUUUGCGGCUCAACCGUAAAAUUGCAGUUGAAACUGGCAGUCUUGAGUACAGUAGAGGUGGGCGGAAUGCGUGGUGUAGCGGUGAAAUGCUUAGAUAUCACGAAGAACACCGAUUGCGAAGGCAGUUCACUGGACUGCAACUGACACUGAGGCUCGAAAGUGUGGGUAUCAAACAGGAUUAGAUACCCCUGUAGUC
rnacentral:rRNA from 1 species